UACAGGGGGGGCAAGCGUUGUUCGGAAUUACUGGGCGUAAAGAGCGCGCAGGCGGUCGUUCAAGUCGAGUGUGAAAGCCCCCGGCUCAACUGGGGAGGGUCAUUCGAUACUGAUCGACUUGAAGGCAGGAGAGGGAAGUGGAAUUCCCGGUGUAGUGGUGAAAUGCGUAGAUAUCGGGAGGAACACCAAUGGCGAAGGCAGCUCGCUGGGACGGUACUGACGCUGAGGCGCGAAAGCGUGGGGAGCAAACAGG
rnacentral:rRNA from 1 species